UACGUAGGGCGCGAGCGUUGUCCGGAAUUAUUGGGCGUAAAGAGCUCGUAGGCGGCCUGUUGCGUCCGCUGUGAAAUCCCAGGGCUCAACCCUGGGCGUGCAGUGGGUACGGGCAGACUAGAGUGCGGUAGGGGGAAAUUGGAAUUCCUGGUGUAGCGGUGGAAUGCGCAGAUAUCAGGAGGAACACCAAUGGCGAAGGCAGAUCUCUGGGCCGUAACUGACGCUGAGGAGCGAAAGCAUGGGGGAGCGAACAGG
rnacentral:rRNA from 1 species